rnacentral:rRNA from 1 species
AUUGAACGCUGGCGGCAGGCCUAACACAUGCAAGUCGAGCGGAUGAAGGGAGCUUGCUCCUGGAUUCAGCGGCGGACGGGUGAGUAAUGCCUAGGAAUCUGCCUGGUAGUGGGGGAUAACGUCCGGAAACGGGCGCUAAUACCGCAUACGUCCUGAGGGAGAAAGUGGGGGAUCUUCGGACCUCACGCUAUCAGAUGAGCCUAGGUCGGAUUAGCUAGUUGGUGGGGUAAAGGCCUACCAAGGCGACGAUCCGUAACUGGUCUGAGAGGAUGAUCAGUCACACUGGAACUGAGACACGGUCCAGACUCCUACGGGAGGCAGCAGUGGGGAAUAUUGGACAAUGGGCGAAAGCCUGAUCCAGCCAUGCCGCGUGUGUGAAGAAGGUCUUCGGAUUGUAAAGCACUUUAAGUUGGGAGGAAGGGCAGUAAGUUAAGACCUUGCUGUUUUGACGUUACCAACAGAAUAAGCACCGGCUAACUUCGUG